rnacentral:rRNA from 1 species
UUCAGGCCUAACACAUGCAAGUCGAGCGCGAAAGUGGGCUUCGGCUCACGAGUAGAGCGGCGAACGGGUGAGUAACGCGUGGGUGAUCUACCUCCGAGUGGGGAAUAACACCGGGAAACUGGUGCUAAUACCGCAUGACAUCCUUGAUUCGUUUCGAGGAUCAAAGCUGGGGACCGCAAGGCCUGGCGCUUGGAGAGGAGCCCGCGUCCGAUUAGCUUGUUGGCGGGGUAAUGGCCCACCAAGGCUUCGAUCGGUAGCCGGCCUGAGAGGGCGGACGGCCACACUGGGACUGAGACACGGCCCAGACUCCUACGGGAGGCAGCAGUGGGGAAUUUUUCGCAAUGGGGGAAACCCUGACGAAGCAACGCCGCGUGGAGGAUGAAGGCCCUCGGGUCGUAAACUCCUGUCGAUCGGGAAGAAUGCACUCGGGUUAAUACCCCGUUGUGUUGACUGUACCGGUGGAGGAAGCCACGGCUAACUCUGUGCCAGCAGCCGCGGUAAGACAGAGGUGGCAAGCGUUGUUCGGAAUUACUGGGCGUAAAGGGCGCGCAGGCGGUUCGUCAAGUCCCGUGUGAAAUCCCCCGGCUCAACUGGGGAACUGCGCGGGAAACUAGCGGGCUUGAGUUCGGGAGAGGGAAGCGGAAUUCCGGGUGUAGCGGUGAAAUGCGCAGAUAUCCGGAGGAACACCAGUGGCGAAGGCGGCUUCCUGGACCGAUACUGACGCUGAGGCGCGAAAGCCAGGGGAGCGAACGGGAUUAGAUACCCCGGUAGUCCUGGCCCUAAACGUUGAG